UUGCAAAAUUUUGAUUAAUUUACUAACCAAACGCUCUCAUUCAACAAAACCCUUUGCAGCGUUUUUAUUUUAAGGCCAGGGUUUUGUUUGAGCGUAAGAAGAAUCAUGGUCAUGGCCUUCUCCACUGGGUUUUCCACCGCUUUCGCCGGUUUUAAGAUGGAAGCUUUCUUAUUGAAUUCCGGUUCUUCUUCUUCUUCGCCUUGUUCUUUUGUGAGGGGUCAGCAAUUACGUGCCCUUUGUAAACCCAGUCGCAAUGAGGGAACAUUUCAGAGUGGAUUUCGAUGCCAAGUUACUGCUUCAUCUGAUGCCUCCAUCGUCUCCGCUCUUGAGCAGCUCAAGACCUCCGCGCCUGACCGAUAUACAAAGGAAAGGAGCAGCAUUGUUGUUAUUGGUCUUAGUGUUCACACUGCACCUGUUGAGAUGCGUGAAAAACUUGCCAUACCAGAAGCAGAAUGGCCACGGGCCAUUGGAGAGUUGUGUAAUCUAAAUCAUAUAGAAGAGGCUGCUGUUCUUAGCACCUGCAACCGCAUGGAGAUAUAUGUUCUAGCUCUUUCUCAACAUCGUGGGGUUAAAGAAGUGACUGAAUGGAUGUCAAAGACAAGUGGUAUCCCUGUCUCUGAGCUAUGCCAGCACCGGUUUUUGCUGUAUAACAAUGAUGCUACCCAUCAUCUGUUUGAAGUUUCAGCUGGACUUGACUCUCUUGUGCUAGGAGAAGGACAGAUCCUUGCUCAAGUUAAACAAGUUGUCAAAGUUGGGCAAGGAGUUGUUGGAUUUGGAAGGAACAUCAGUGGACUGUUCAAGCAUGCAAUCACUGUUGGAAAGCGGGUUAGAGCAGAGACAAACAUUGCUGCUGGGGCUGUUUCUGUCAGCUCAGCCGCAGUUGAACUGUCUUUAAUGAAGCUUCCUGAAUCUUCAAAUGCCACUGCCCGCAUGUUGGUUGUUGGAGCUGGCAAGAUGGGGAAGCUUGUGAUAAAACACUUGGUAGCAAAAGGAUGCACUAAGAUGGUGGUUGUAAACAGAUCUGAGGAGAGAGUUGCAGCUAUUCGUGAGGAGAUGAAGGGUGUUGAGAUAAUUUACAAACCUCUCUCAGAAGUGCUAGUCUGUGCUGCUGAAGCUGAUGUGGUCUUCACCAGCACAGCAUCUGAAACUCCAUUAUUCUUCAAAGAGAAUGUCAAGGACCUUCCACCUGUUGAUCCUACAGUCGGGGGUUUGAGGCUCUUUAUUGACAUCUCUGUUCCUCGUAAUGUUGGCUCAUGUGUUGAAGAUGUUGAAACUGCUAGAGUCUACAAUGUUGAUGACCUUAAGGAAGUUGUGGCUGCUAAUAAAGAGGAUAGACUCCGCAAAGCUAUGGAAGCUCAAGCUAUUAUCGGUGAGGAAUCAAAACAGUUUGAAGCUUGGAGGGAUUCGUUGGAGACUGUUCCUACCAUCAAGAAACUGAGGGCUUAUGCAGAAAGAAUCAGAAUGGCAGAGCUAGAGAAAUGCCUGUCAAAGAUGGGUGAUGAUAUCUCAAAGAAAUCAAGGAGGGCAGUUGAUGAUCUAAGCCGCGGUAUUGUGAAUAAGCUUCUUCAUGGUCCAAUGCAGCACCUAAGAUGUGAUGGGAGCGACAGCCGGACUCUGGAUGAAACCCUUGAAAAUAUGCAUGCUCUUAACAGAAUGUUUGGCCUUGAAACAGAUACAUCUCUGUUAGAGCAGAAGAUCCGAGCCAAGAUAGAACAAGCCCAGAAGUAGCUUCAAUACAAGAAUACAGUGUAUCACCAGGCAGAAGACUGACAGCUACGUCAUUAAAUCAAACCCAGAUUCAAAGAUGUAACAGAGGUGUAGUCUGGGUUUGCUUCAGCACCAUUAAUCAUUGGGGACGCAAGGAAUAAGACCACCAUGAGAUCAUCAGUAAACUGGUCCCUAGUAUAUUAUAUUAAAUUAUAUACCCGGGAAUCCAAAGACAACAAGUACAUAGUACUUUUUUGGGUCUUUGCAGACCACAGCUUGCCUUGUGUUGCGGACGAAAUGUGAUUAUAAAGUAAAAAGAGUCAUUGGGUCCGUGAUGCCAUGCUACGGUAUGUUCCUCAUUUUGUCCUCUGUUUAUCAUAUCAACCAACUGUUCUGUCCUCGAGGGGGAGGGAGAAGCCUACUCCCCCUAAUACAAAGUGAUUUUUAGCAUGACUAUGAAGUAUAGGAAUCUCUUGGGACUAACAUAAUGACCUGAAACUGAGAAUAUCAACUUGAAGAAGAAGCGUGUUGCUAAAGUGAUGCAAAGGAGAAGUGAGAAAUCACAAUGUGUGUGUGCAUGUGUUGGUAUACACCGAGGAGAGGAUUGAUGGGAAUUGGGUGGUCCCUAAUCAUAAUCCCUCACAUGAUCACAUCUACGGUUGUGCAGUUAUGUUUGAUGCAAUCCCCACCGUCGGUGAGUCUGCUCUUCAUGGACCAUGGACUCCGAGACAUGGACCAGACAAUGAACUGGUUUCAAUUAUACAAUUCAUGCGAGGGGCAGUGGGAGAGAUGUAUGUGUUGUACCCUUACAAACAAUUUGCUCAAACAAUCUCUCAUGCUUACAGCACCAACAAAAAGAGUAAUGCAAUAUGUAUAAAUAAUAUACACAAUUUUAUCUACA